GAUUCGUCACACUAUCAUUAACUGAAUCCAUAGGUUAAUGAGGCGAACCGGGGGAACUGAAACAUCUAAGUACCCCGAGGAAAAGAAAUCAACCGAGAUUCCCCCAGUAGCGGCGAGCGAACGGGGAGGAGCCCAGAGCCUGAAUCAGCAUGUGUGUUAGUGGAAGCGUCUGGAAAGGCGCGCGAUACAGGGUGACAGCCCCGUACACAAAAGCGCAUGUGCUGUGAGCUCGAUGAGUAGGGCGGGACACGUGGUAUCCUGUCUGAAUAUGGGGGGACCAUCCUCCAAGGCUAAAUACUCCUGACUGACCGAUAGUGAACCAGUACCGUGAGGGAAAGGCGAAAAGAACCCCGGCGAGGGGAGUGAAAAAGAACCUGAAACCGUGUACGUACAAGCAGUGGGAGCCCCACCACCAAAGCAUUCUCUGGUGUUGAAGGCCCUGCAAAGCAGCAUCGCGGUGGCGGAGCGUCGUUUGCGACGCCCAACACACAAAACAAGCGGUGAAUGCUUUGGGGUGGGGUGACUGCGUACCUUUUGUAUAAUGGGUCAGCGACUUAUAUUCUGUAGCAAGGUUAACCG
rnacentral:rRNA from 3 species